rnacentral:rRNA from 1 species
GCCGGGGGAUGCCAGCGUUAUCCGGAAUCACUGGGCGUAAAGCGUCUGUAGGUGGUGAUGCAAGUCACUGGUGCAAAACUCUGGCUCAACCGGAGGAAAGCCAGUGAAACUGCAUGACUAGAGUGUGGGAGAGGUAGAAGGAAUUCCCUGAGUAGCGGUGAAAUGCGUAGAUACAGGGAAGAACACCGGAGGCGAAAGCGUUCUACUGGAACACAAAUGACACUGAGAGACGAAAGCUAGGGGAGCGAAUGGG